rfam:Peptococcaceae bacterium CEB3 CEB3_contig000012, whole genome shotgun sequence.
AGGAACCGGAUGCGGGAAAUCUGCACGUCCGGGUCUGUGGGGGCUAUGGGCGUGUAAGCGCCCAUUUCUACCCGGC